rnacentral:rRNA from 14 species
CUUGACGACCAUAGAGCAUUGGAACCACCUGAUCCCAUCCCGAACUCAGCAGUGAAACGAUGCAUCGCCGAUGGUAGUGUGGGG